UGCGGGGGGCAGUGACGUCACAGAGCCUCUUGCCAGCGCAACGUUCUAUUGAGGCGAGCGCGGAGCGCGUGCUCCUGCGAGCACAUGGACAGCAGGCUGAGCUUCUUGCUGCAAAGCGGCCGCGUUCAGAAGCCCCUUUUUGCACCGGUCUGGAAUGGAUUUUAUGGGGGGAAACAGCCUGAAAUUGCCAGGGUUUGGCUGUGGCAUUGGUGCCCAUGUGAGACUGAGCAGAACUCAAUCAUUCCAGCAUGGCGUGGAUUUCGACUGUGCUUAGCAAGUGAUUUCGGAGGGGAAUUUUUCACGCUUGUUUAUUUGGAGUUAAGGGAUGAAAAUGAGCAAAAGAAAAUUAAUCUGGACAGUAAGAACUGUUAAGUUAGUCUCUCAAAAGAAAUGGGGAAAGCGAUUUAUUGAGAAAUCUAAAAUUGGACUUGAAGAACCACUGGAAAACUACUGCAAGGUACAGUACUGUACUGGGUGGAGACAUAGAAUGGAUGCAAAAUGUCCCAAGCCCGAUCUCUUGACCAUUUUGGAAUAAGCAAUGGAGCAGUCCAGCAACAUGUUCCCUCCAAAACAUUCAAGGAUUUCCAGGACCACAGGAUUUACAGAACCACCAAAAUCUCUGGAGAAUGUCAACAGUGGAUGAAGCUGAUGGUGAAAAAUAAGUGUAGCAAUUCUGCCGGCCCCUGGCAUCCCUGGUUUUUCUUUUGUUACUGAAAGUGAAUUGGGAAGGAAACGCCUCUGUUCUCUGAGGAUAUUUCAUCAGUUGUUUGCCAUCUUUACUGGAAUUGCUUCAGUUAUUAGUUUCACAAAGAGGAGAAACAAUGCCUGUUACACUCAGUGGAGAUGUAUUUAUUUUUCACAGCAGUUCAAGAGCAGCAUGUGUGUGUUGAGCAGGUAUGUGUGUGGUUUCCUAAUUCAUACGCCAGUUAUGUUUCCUGAUGUUUGAGGAGUAAAUAAUUUGCCUUUUCUCCCACCCCUUAAAGGUGUAAGACCCUUUCUAGUUGCUUGGCACCAUGUUUGAAGAUUGGGUUACCUUUUUAAAGGGGGUAGCAAAUAUCCUGAAACGGAUAUGUAUGAGACUGUCUGUCUUUUUUUUAUUUUGCUUCAGAUAACACAUGUUGACAAUAAUAAUCUGGCAUUCAUGAAAGGUUUCUUUGGAACCCUUCAGGAUACAAGUUAUUUGCACGGAAUUUCCAUUAUCCAUCACUGAAGUGCAGACACCUCCGAGGUGGAACACGGCAGCCCUAAGAGCAAGUUACUGCCAAAAGUCUUCUGUAGUCUCCUUUUUCUCAUAAUUGUCAGCCCAUUCCUAAAUUGCCAAAGGCCACCGCACUUGGCUUAAUGGGAACAGUCCUGCAAGCUCAUCUAACAGCUGAUGCUUAUGGCAGAGCCUUUGGGAAUCCGUGGAAUUUUAGCAUCCCCAAAGUUGUUGUUUAAAACCUCCCCCCACUCCCCCACCAUAAAUUCUGCAGAAAACAUUUCCCACUGUUCUCCUUGCAAGAAUAUCCUCUUCACUAUAACAGAUGUGAGGCUGGUUACUGUGCAUAUAGACAAACGGAAGCAGGAGCUCCGAGGCGUGCAACCUUCCCCCAUUCUUCUCCAUGGAAUGAUAACCCUAAAGCGUGCUGCCAUUUUUGUUAGGAAGUUGCAGCAAAUCCAGUGUCUUGCCCUGCUUCCCACCCAGGCUCUAAUUGCGAGUUCCAGAAAUCCUCUGUAGUCACAGUCGUAAGUCGGGAAAUGGGUGAAUCUCAAAAGGUUUAAAGGGAAGUAAUGGAGAUGUUCAAUCUAGUGUGUGUAUAUACAUUGUAUACAAUGUGUAUGUAAAAUGGAUGCAUUUGUGUAUAUGCACAAAAUAUUUUACGGCAGGUGUGUGAUGUACUGUGAAGUGUGUUUGUGCAUGCGUGUACUCGUAGCUAGAGUUCAGAAGUUUAAUUAAACACUGAGAAGUUUGGA